AGACUGUGCUGUACAGUCAGCAUUUGGCUUAUUUUCCCUCCCCAGGGCAUAUGCAUGUGAGCUGUGAGUAUCAUCAUACAGAAAACGGAAGGAAGCAAAUGGCAGGUCUGGAGGAAGCGGGUGACACGUUCUAAGAGGUGAAGAGACUCCUGUGGAGAACAAAGCUGAUCAGCGUGGAAGCUCUGCUGUGUGUGGAGGCUCAGCUGCCGCUCGAGGAGAUAGUGGAUCCAACACUGCCAUCUUCUGACUGCACAGCAGAAAGGUCUGGACUAGGUUAUCUCUGCAUCUGUCUCAGUUGUAAUGCUGUUGUCAGCAAGCACAAGCGGGAACAGUGUGCAGAUUGUUUUAAUUUGCGCUGGGGGACUGCAUUUGGCUCUAUGAAUGAGGACGCAUCUUUGAACGUUCCCUGCCUCUACUGAGCUCAGUGCUCCUGGUUUGCAGUUCUACAAUAUGAGUAUGCACUUAGCCAGCAGGAUCUGAGCUGG
rnacentral:lncRNA from 1 species